GAACUUAAGCAUAUCAAUAAGCGGAGGAAAAGAAACCAACAGGGAUUGCCUCAGUAACGGCGAGUGAAGCGGCAACAGCUCAAAUUUGAAAUCUGGCCGCAAGGUCCGAGUUGUAAUUUGUAGAGGAUGCUUUUGGCGAGGUGCCUUCCGAGUUCCCUGGAACGGGACGCCAUAGAGGGUGAGAGCCCCGUACGGUAGGACCACCAAGCCUCUGUAAAGCUCCUUCGACGAGUCGAGUAGUUUGGGAAUGCUGCUCUAAAUGGGAGGUGUACGUCUUCUAAAGCUAAAUACCGGCCAGAGACCGAUAGCGCACAAGUAGAGUGAUCGAAAGAUGAAAAGCACUUUGAAAAGAGGGUUAAAAAGUACGUGAAAUUGUUGAAAGGGAAGCAUUCAUGACCAGACUUGGGCUUGGUUGAACAUCCGGCGUUCUCGCCGGUGCACUCUGCCAGUCCAGGCCAGCAUCAGUUUGCCCCGGGGGAUAAAGGCGGCGGGAACGUGGCUCCCUUCGGGGAGUGUUAUAGCCCGUCGUGUAAUGCCCUGGGGCGGACUGAGGAACGCGCUUCGGCACGGAUGCUGGCGUAAUGGUCAUCAAUGACCCGUCUUGAAACACGGACCAAGGAGUCGUCUUCGUAUGCGAGUGUUCGGGUGUCAAACCCCUACGCGUAAUGAAAGUGAACGUAGGUGAGAACUUCGGCGCAUCACCGACCGAUCCUGAUGUUCUCGGAUGGAUUUGAGUAAGAGCAUACGGGGCCGGACCCGAAA
rnacentral:rRNA from 1 species